UUAAACAUACGUGUCCAGGAAGUGAUCUUGUGGACUUCGAAGUUGAAUUACCAAGAAAACGCCACAUUUAAGCAAAAUCCUGAGCAGAGACACAGCUGAAGUGUGAUCUAGAACAAGUAAAACGGAAUUACGCCGUCAGAGAAGCCAACACUCCUCCUUCAGUGAACGACUGUAGUCCGGCAUUAUGAAUGAAUCCGAAGAGGCCUUUGUUUUGCUAGUUGCCCUAUCCAUAGUCAUUGGGAUACCAGUGUUUGUGGUCUGGCUGAUCUACAAAGCUUGGAAGUGGCUGACAGGAUACGAGAAUGAAAACACUAGAAGGCGUAGAUCAUACCAUGGAUAUCGAGAUAGACCCAACCAUAAGCCAGAAAGGCAUGCAAAGGAAAAGAAAAAGGACGAAGUUCGCUUGCCCGAAGCCUACGAAUAUCGAAGGAGUGUUAACGACAACG